rnacentral:snRNA from 1 species
CUGCUCACCUCGGCAGCACACACACUAAAAUUAGAAUGGUACGGAGGAGAUUAGCGUGGCCCCCGCCCAAAGAUGACAGGCAAGUGCAUGAAGCAUUCCAUAGGGUU